rnacentral:lncRNA from 1 species
UGACCCUGAACCAGAAAGGAACUGAAAAAUUGACUGGUUGAACUCCCUGAAACAAAUGAUGCUUGAGUGGUUUCAUGCAUAAUAACUGCCUUGAAUGUAAAUAGGGCCAUCAGUCAGCAGGGCCCCCAGGAACUUCCUGUUCUAGGACACCCCCAGCAAGUCAGGGCCCCUCCUGACCAGGGACCAAGGCUUCGGAGAAGACUCUGGAGAAGGCUCGGAGGAAACUGGGAAGCUGGUUCUUUGGCCCAAAGUGCUUUUACAGCCUACCUGUAUUUUACCGGCCCUCCUAGACGGGGGGAACUCCCCUGUCCUCUGCAGGAAUGUCAAAAGCCACCCAUCUUUAACCACCUAAUGCUCCCAUCAGCAGAGAGGCACACAGCACAGUGAACGUCGAGCAUGCACACCAGGAAGCCCAGGUUCGAGUUCUGACCGUCACUUACUGGUGGUAAUGAUGGUACUAGAUGUCAGAGUCAAGGGAGCUGAGGAAGGCAUCCAAGUAAGGAGGUGGCGUGGGCACUCCCUGACAAGGCUACACGAGUGCAG